UAAAAUUUAUAAAAUUAGGUAAUAAAGAAAUGUCUGAAACCUAAAGAAUUUGGCGGUAUUUUAAAUAAUUGGAGGAACCUGUUAUUUAAUUGACAACCCACAACGUAUCUUACCUAAAUUUUAUUUGUAUAUCGUCGUUUUGAUAAUAUUUAAAAAUUAUAAUCAGUGCCAAAAAUUUUUCAAAAAUCAGAUCAAGGUGCAGUAUAUUUAGGGUAUAAUGGGUUACAAUAUAAUUAUAUAAAAUGGAUAUAAAAUUGAAAUUAUAUUGAAAGUGGAUUCAAAAGUAAUAUUAAAUUAAAAUGUUAAUAUGAUUAAAAAUUUAAAAUAUGC
rnacentral:rRNA from 1 species